rnacentral:ncRNA from 1 species
CCAAAUCUAUUGAUUGGGAGAGUAGAUAAAUCGUUUUGUCAAAGCGAGCCGGAGUUGGUGAGAGUCCGGAACAAAGGUUUUAUUGAAGCGUACCCAUGAAGAGGUUUUCUGAAAGAGAAAUCGAGUAGGAAAAUCCGGAAGCCCCCGUUAAGGGCCUUGAGUGAAAAUGAGUAUACUGUCUGACUUUGCAGGCGGGCUCAUUUUAAGAAGAGUGGUAACGCGGAUAAGCUUCGUCUCUUAC